rnacentral:ncRNA from 1 species
UAUUUACACCCAAAUUAAGGUUUCUUUUUGUUUUGUAAAAAAAAAGGAAUUAAAAGGGAAUUUGGAUAAAUACCAAAGCUGUUCCCGCAACUGUAAGCUAGAAAGCUUGUUGUUAUCUGCAAAGUCACUGUUUAAAAUUCUAGAAUUUAGAAUUUAGAUUUCAUUUUUUUUAAGCUGAAAUCGAAAAUCCUAAAUUAAAGAUUAAGAAUGGGAAGGCAAACAACAAGACGCAAGCCAGGAGACCUGCCUUAAUUCUUAACAAAUAU